UUCUAUGUCUUGGCAUUUUGGCUAAGAUCAAGUGUGGUAUCUGUUCUCAUCAGCUUAAUGUCUGGUAUCCUCUAUCCAGGCUCCCAUGUGGCAAUAGGGGUAAAGAGACAUAAGAGACACAGGUUCAGUCCUC
rnacentral:snRNA from 1 species